rnacentral:tRNA from 1 species
UUUGAUAGCUCGGUAGGAGGGUUUGUGUUUCGGCCACAAACAGGAAAUAAGAAUUUCUGUCAAAG